rnacentral:tRNA from 1 species
CAGCCCAUAACAGGGUGAAAAGGCUUGAUGGUGGCCUUCUAAGCCGUAGGUCAUUGGUUCGAAUCCAGUAGGGUGUACCA